rnacentral:rRNA from 1 species
UACGUAGGGGGCAAGCGUUGUCCGGAUUUAUUGGGCGUAAAGAGCUCGUAGGCGGUUUGGUAAGUCUGGUGUGAAAUCUCCACGCUCAACGUGGAGGGGCCACCCGAUACUGCCAUGACUGGAGUCCGGUAGAGGAGUGUGGAAUUCCCGGUGUAGCGGUGAAAUGCGCAGAUAUCGGGAGGAACACCUAUGGCGAAGGCAGCUCGCUGGGACGUUACUGACGCUGAGACGCGAAAGCGUGGGGAGCAAACGGG